GGCCAGACUCCUACGGGAGGCAGCAGUGGGGAAUAUUGCACAAUGGGGGGAACCCUGAUGCAGCGACGCCGCGUGGGUGAAGGAGUAUUUCGGUAUGUAAAGCCCUAUCAGCAGGGAAGAACAAUGACGGUACCUGACUAAGAAGCACCGGCUAAAUACGUGCCAGCAGCCGCGGUAAUACGUAUGGUGCAAGCGUUAUCCGGAUUUACUGGGUGUAAAGGGAGCGUAGACGGCAGUGCAAGUCUGAAGUGAAAGGCGGGGGCCCAACCCCCGAACUGCUUUGGAAACUGUGCUGCUGGAGUGCAGGAGAGGCAAGUGGAAUUCCUAGUGUAGCGGUGAAAUGCGUAGAUAUUAGGAGGAACACCAGUGGCGAAGGCGUCUUACUGGACCGAAACUGACGUUGAGGCUCGAAAGCGUGGGGAGCAAACAGGAUUAGAUACCCUAGUA
rnacentral:rRNA from 1 species